CACGUAGGGCGCGAGCGUUGUCCGGAAUUAUUGGGCGUAAAGAGCUCGUAGGCGGUCUGUCGCGUCGGCUGUGAAAUCCCGGAGCUCAACUCCGGGUCUGCAGUCGAUACGGGCAGACUGGAGUUCGGCAGGGGAGACUGGAAUUCCUGGUGUAGCGGUGAAAUGCGCAGAUAUCAGGAGGAACACCGGUGGCGAAGGCGGGUCUCUGGGCCGAUACUGACGCUGAGGAGCGAAAGCGUGGGGAGCGAACAGG
rnacentral:rRNA from 1 species